rnacentral:rRNA from 12 species
UAGUCGAUAGAGCAAUGUAGAUAAAGGAAGUCGGCAAAAUGGUUCCGCAACCUCGGGAGAAGGAAUGGCUCUGAAGGCUGGGCGCAGGGGUCCUAGGUCCGAGGCCCAAGGCUGCGCGGAGACUACUGGCAACGGCGGACUCUGCGCGGCCGACCGGCGGAUGGCCUAGGAGCGGCUUUGGCCUUUCCCUGCGCGCUGAACAGCCGCUUCAGAACUGGCGCGGACAAGGGGAAUCCGACUGU